rnacentral:rRNA from 1 species
UACGUAGGGGGCAAGCGUUGUCCGGAAUCAUUGGGCGUAAAGAGCGUGUAGGCGGCCAGAUAAGUCCGCUGUGAAAUCUUGGAGCUUAACUCCGAAACUGCAUUCGAUACUGCCGUGCUUGAGGACUGGAGAGGAGACUGGAAUUUACGGUGUAGCGGUGAAAUGCGUAGAUAUCGUAAGGAAGACCAGUGGCGAAGGCGGGUCUCUGGACAGUUCCUGACGCUGAGGCACGAAGGCCAGGGGAGCAAACGGG